UGGGGAAUUUUGCACAAUGGAGGAAACUCUGAUGCAGCGACGCCGCGUGAGUGAUGAAGAUCUUCGGAUUGUAAAACUCUGUCCUUAGUGAAGAUAAUGACAGUAACUAAGAAGCAAGCCCUGGCUAAAUACGUGCCAGCAGCCGCGGUAAUACGUAUGGGGCAAGCGUUGUCCGGAAUUAUUGGGCGUAAAGGGUACGUAGGCGGUUUAAUAAGUCCUAAUUAAAAGGCUAUGGCUCAACCAUAGUAUGGUUAGGAAACUGUUGAACUUGAGUAGAUGAGGGGAAAGUGGAAUUCCAUGUGUAGCGGUGAAAUGCGUAGAUAUAUGGAGGAACACCAAUGGCGAAGGCAACUUUCUGGGAUCAAACUGACGCUGAGGUACGAAGGCGUGGGGAGCAAACAGG
rnacentral:rRNA from 1 species